rnacentral:rRNA from 1 species
CAAUGGCGAAGGCAGGACUCUGGGCCAUUGCUGACACUGAGGAGCGAAAGCGUGUGGAGCGAACAGGAUUAGAUAGCCUGGUAGUCCACGCCGUAAACGGUGGGCACUAGCUGUGGGGACCUUCCACGGUCUCUGCGACGCAGCUAACGCAUUAAGUGCCCCGCCUGGGGAGUACGAUCGCAAGAUUAAAACUCAAAGGAAUUGACGGGGCCCCGCACAAGCAGCGGAGCAUGCGGCUUAAUUCGACGCAACGCGAAGAACCUUACCAAGGCUUGACAUAUACAGGAAUAUGGCAGAGAUGUCAUAGCCGCAAGGUCUGUAUACAGGUGGUGCAUGGUUGUCGUCAGCUCGUGUCGUGAGAUGUUGGGUUAAGUCCCGCAACGAGCGCAACCCUCGUUCUGUGUUGCCAGCAUUUAGUUGGGGACUCACAGGAGACUGCCGGGGUUAACUCGGAGGAAGGUGGGGAUGACGUCAGAUCAUCAUGCCCCUUAUGUCUUGGGCUGCACGCAUGCUACAAUGGCUGGUACAAACGGCUGCAAUACCGCAAGGUGGAGCGAAUCCGAGAAAGCCAGUCUCAGUUCGGAUUGGGGUCUGCAACUCGACCCCAUGAAGUCGGAGUUGCUAAUAAUCGUAGAUCAGCAACGCUACGGUGAUACGUUCCCGGGGCUUGUACACACCGCCCGUCACGUCACGA